rnacentral:rRNA from 1 species
AUAGGAAGAUAAAAGGCAUCUUGUAUCUUUUAAAAGACCUAGUAAUAGGUAUGCUUUAGGAGGGGCUUGCGCCAUAUUAGUUAGUUGGUAGGGUAAUGGCCUACCAAGACGAUGAUGUGUAGCUGGACUGAGAGGUUGAACAGCCACAUUGGGACUGAGACACGGCCCAAACUCCUACGGGAGGCAGCAGUAGGGAAUUUUCGGCAAUGGAGGAAACUCUGACCGAGCAACGCCGCGUGAAUGACGAAGUACUUCGGUAUGUAAAGUUCUUUUAUCGAGGAAGAAAAGCAAAUGGCGAACCAUUUGUUUGCCGGUACUUGAUGAAUAAGCCCCGGCUAAUUAUGUGCCAGCAGCCGCGGUAAGACAUAAGGGGCAAGUGUUAUCCGGAAUUAUUGGGCGUAAAGGGUGCGUAGGCGGUCUAGUAAGUCAGUGGUGUAAUGGCAACGCUUAACGUUGUCCGGCUAUUGAAACUGCUAAACUUGAGUUGGAUAGAGGCGAGUGGAAUUCCAUGUGUAGCGGUAAAAUGCGUAAAUAUAUGGAGGAACACCAGAGGCGUAGGCGGCUCGCUGGGUCUUAACUGACGCUGAGGCACGAAAGCGUGGGGAGCAAACAGGAUUAGAUACCCUGGUAGUCCACGCCGUAAACGAUGAGUACUAAGUGUCGGGUUAAACCGGUACUGAAGUUAACACAUUAAGUACUCCGCCUGAGUAGUACGUACGCAAGUAUGAAACUUAAAGGAAUUGACGGGACUCCGCACAAGCGGUGGAUCAUGUUGUUUAAUUCGAAGAUACCCGAAAAACCUUACCAGGUCUUGACAUGUUUUUGCAAAAUGAUAGUAAUAUCGUGAAGNUUUACCAGAACACAGGUGGUGCAUGGUUGUCGUCAGCUCGUGUC